UACGUAGGGUGCAAGCGUUGUCCGGAAUUAUUGGGCGUAAAGAGCUCGUAGGCGGUCUGUCGCGUCUGCUGUGAAAAAUCCAGGGCUCAACCCUGGACCUGCAGUGGGUACGGGCAGACUAGAGUGCGGUAGGGGAGAUCGGAAUCCUGGUGUGAGCGGUGAAAUGCGCAGAAUAUCAGGAGGAACACCGGUGGCGAAGGGCG
rnacentral:rRNA from 1 species